GGAGAGGUGCCAGAGUGGCCGAUUGGGGCAGUCUCGAAAACUGUUGUACGUUUGCGCGUACCGUGGGUUCGAAUCCCACCCUCUCCGCCA
rnacentral:tRNA from 1 species